CCUGAGAGGGACAGGGUAGCUGCUCGUCACUUCCUUUCUGACACUUUGGACACAACAUGUUUUCUUUUUAUAAUUAUUUUUGCCGGAAUAUUUUUCUGCAUUUCCACUGUAAGCCCGCUAGGAGCAUGUGGUGAAUUUUUAUCAGGAUUUUCAGGGAAAUUUUAUGGGUUUGUAAAACCCCCCCAGAUAAUGGCUGCUGGGGUCAACUCCGGCACCUCCGCGACCCAAAUCAGGCUAGGCGGUUCAGUGACUAGCUAGACAAAUGGCAACGCGAAACAUGCUGUGCAAGGCCAAUGAAAUGGCCCAACGUGUGUAAACAAUGUGCACAAUCGAUAAUGUUGUUCCCAAGGCUGACCUUAGUGUACCUCCAUCAAGAAGACCUUGUUUGUUCUGGCGGCGUUGACGAGGUCUUUCACCUGACCAGAGUUCAUGGCGAAGGGUUUCUCACACAGAACAUUCUUGCCAGCAUUGAG